rnacentral:rRNA from 1 species
UUUUGAAAGGGAAACGAUUGAAGUCAGUCAUGCCGGUGGGAAUCAACUUAGGGGAAACUCUGGGUGCACUUCUUCGCUUGGCAGGUCAACGUCGAUUUUGAAUGUCAUAAAAUAAUUGGGGGAAGGUAGCUCCUUCGGGAGUGUUAUAGCCCUUGAUAGAUGUGAUGUUUGGGGUCGAGGAUUGCAACGGAUACCCUUCGGGGCUAGCCGCCUGAUCUCUAAUUGGUGUUGGGUUACGGACAGCAUGCUGACCGUGAUCUAAUUACUGG